GGCCAUCAGUUUAAACAUGGAAGCUUCACUUGUGAACUCAAAAUGUGCUUGCAUCUUAUAUUAGCACACAUAGUGCUGUUACACACAUCUGGUAUUGGCACACACAGAUUUUUUUCUAUGACUAAGUAUAUUAGCAUAUUAGUUGCAAUAACUGCAUGUUCAAAUACAGGCUGCCAGUGGCACACACUUUUUUGUGUUUAUCUUUUAAAAUAAAAUCUUGUCUCCCGUCUUCCUGCUCAUUCGGACCUUAGACUUUCUUCGGAAGCCAGCUGGUUAUUUUCUGAGGUGGUGUUUGCAGUUUUGAUUAUGUGGACACUUCUCAUCUGAGACCAUUAAGAACCACCAGCUGAUAACUUUUGAAUGCUACAAACCUGAGUUAGAUCUUCUGAACUGGCCAGCUGUAGGCAAAAAUUUCCAUAUUCCAUUAACAGUCUCUUCAAAUAGCCAGCCCUUGAAAUGAUACUCUUAUAUGUAUGUUAGUUUUAUAAUUGUUUUCUGUAAAACUGUGUUUACUUUAGAAUAUUGAUUUUUCUCUUAUUCCCACACAACUGUUCUCAAUAUAUUACUUCAGAAGGAAGCAUAUAAAGGCAUCUCAGGAAUUUGUCACUGUAUGACAAGCUCCUUACAAAGAAUUCUGCUGUCAUUUGGAAGGAUAGAGACCUUGCUGAUCGACCCAUUGACACCAUAUUUUAUUCAGUGACAGUAUGGCCAGACUUGAACACAAUGUCAGUGAUUUUCACAAGAUAGUAUUUAUUCCUUUUUUUAAAGACUGUUAUGGUGUCAGUAUUUAGAAGGUGAAUUUGUGUAUAAAAAUGAAAUCCAGACAUGAUAUGAAUGACUAGCUAAAUAUUGCCAACUGCUGCUUAGGGACUGAAUUGUAGAAUUGCAACACACUCACGCACACAAAUAGAAAUGUCUGUCGGGAAUCCUUUACUGUGCUUACUAGAGAGCUAUAAUGCACGUUUUAAAUAGUGAUUUUUAUCACUGUUUUAUCUUAUAUUUGUAUGCCUCUGCUUAGAGGAAAAGGGGACACAGUUCUGCUGGACAUCUUCAGUGAGACCCUAGUGUCCAUUCAGAUUUUCAUUACCCCAAAAGGGGUUGAAACUACUAUACCAGAGGGGAAACCUCAGGUAGCAGCUGCAUCUGAAGGCAACAGCUAUAGAGUCAAGAACUCAUGGACCUCUCUGGCCGACAGUUUAAUAUUUUCCUGUGGAACAUGGCUGUCAUGAGAAAUCAUGGUUGUGGAAGGACAUAGGAUCCCAAUCUUGUGGACAGCUUUGAGUGUUGGGACAGUGUUAGAUUUUGAACUGGACUCUGCAUUCAGUGGGGAGCCAGUGGAGAGAGCAGAACACCAGAGUGAAGAGAUCAUUGCAACCUGUGUUGUUUAGCAGAUGAUCUUCUGCAUGGAAUGCCAUCUAAGGCUUUUUUCAGUGUCUGUGGCUUCAUACUUAAAUAUCAGGUACCAUGGCAGUGUACAGAGAUAGAAGUUGGUGGGUGGGUGGGUUGGUUGGUUUUGCUGCAAUGGCUACUAACAGAGUAUCACUGUAUCUGAACUCAGUAAUAAAAACGUUCCACUAUAUGUCCUAAUUCUGCAAAAAGCUUAGGUCGCUGGGAUGCUUCAUAGGAAGUUUCUCCUGUUUGUAUUUGAAAAGGCUCAGAGUACUGGUUUUUGAUGUGACUCCUUUCCUGUCCCUUCCAGAACUUAAAGGGGAGUGGAGUGGGGUGGGGUGGGGGAAUAGUCUUACCUUUCAUAGUGUUUGGAUCUGUAGUUCCAGAUCAUGGAAUCUGUUACAUAGAAGAAAAAUUCUUGAAUAUACUUUCUGUACGUGCAAGGAAAAAAACACAUGCAAGUUAUUUUCUGCAUGUAAUGUGCUAUACAGUACAGUGUGCUCUGAUAAUACACUGACUGGCAAAUCAAAAUGCUUAACAUGAUUUGGGGCCAUUUGGUGCAGCGAGUGUCAUUUAGUGCAGUUCCAAGGGCUCCCAUUGGAGCUCUGCUGAUGGACAGAAGCUGAGGAUCCGGCCCAAGGUUACCUGUUGUUGAAAUGUAGUAUUCAAGAAGUUAAAAGGUGAUUGAGAUUUAGCGGAGUUAGGUUACCUGGCUCCUUUAAAUCCUGAAUUGCCAAUCUGCGGCCUUAAGAUCAGUCAGCUGGCUUCUUAUGAAGAAGAUUGAGAAUGAGUCUGAGCAAAGGGUAAAAUUUUCUCUCUGACCUUUUGGAAUACCCAAGAGAGAUGGAAAGAAUUGACUGCCAGGGGAAGAAUUUAAGUUGACAUGACAAUUUUAAGGUUAACCAGCUGCCUGCUGACAUUUUUGGUGAGUGUUGUACUGCAUCAUCUCCAAUUCAUUUUUUUGUAUUGAGUCCCUCAGUGCUGUUGCUUGAUAACACAACAUUCAAAUUACCUACAUCAAUACUUCAUAUGUAUUAAGAAAGAGAGAGGGGUUUUUUUGACAUUCCUGUUUGUUGUUGUUCAGGAUUACUGAAAUUUCUGUCUCAUACAAAUAGGACUAUGAAAGCAAGUGGGAUAAAGAAGUGCUGAGGUUAUUUUUGAAUUUACUCUGGUGUGUAAUACCCCAAUAAUAAAUACAGAAAGGAAUGAAAAUUACAGUAUUGAUGCAAUGCUACAUAGUAUGUUACUUUUAAAAAGGGUGUGAGAUAAAGCUAACCUGACCCAGUCACUUGCACCUCCCAUUACACUUUAUAUGCAAUAUUUAAUAACCUGCUAUGAUGUGAGUUUUCUCCAGGCUGUUCUGAUGUUUUUCUUGUAAACAAUUAAU